rnacentral:rRNA from 1 species
CCUACGGGAGGCAGCAGUGGGGAAUAUUGCACAAUGGGGGAAACCCUGAUGCAGCCAUGCCGCGUGUGUGAAGAAGGCCUUCGGGUUGUAAAGCACUUUCAGUUGUGAGGAAAAGUUAGUAGUUAAUACCUGCUAGCCGUGACGUUAAUAACAGAAGAAGCACCGGCUAACUCCGUGCCAGCAGCCGCGGUAAUACGGAGGGUGCGAGCGUUAAUCGGAAUUACUGGGCGUAAAGCGCACGCAGGCGGUUUGUUAAGCUAGAUGUGAAAGCCCCGGGCUCAACCUGGGAUGGUCAUUUAGAACUGGCAGACUAGAGUCUUGGAGAGGGGAGUGGAAUUCCAGGUGUAGCGGUGAAAUGCGUAGAUAUCUGGAGGAACAUCAGUGGCGAAGGCGACUCCCUGGCCAAAGACUGACGCUCAUGUGCGAAAGUGUGGGUAGCGAACAGGAUUAGAUACCCUGGUAGUCCACACCGUAAACGCUGUCUACUAGCUGUGUGUGCCUUUAAGGCGUGCGUAGCGAAGCUAACGCGCUAAGUAGACCGCCUGGGGAGUACGGCCGCAAGGUUAAAACUCAAAUGAAUUGACGG